rnacentral:lncRNA from 1 species
CUUGGAUCAUACGAGUGGCUUUCCUCUGGACUCUCUCAAGCUUCUCCACAUCCUCCAUGAAGUGGGGGUCCCCAAUACUGGAUGCAGUACUCCAGCUGUGGUCUUAACCAUGGCAGGGUCAAAAAUCAAUAAAGUUCACAAAGUAAUAUUUUAGAGCCCUAAUUAGUUUAAUUAAAGAGACAUGAGUGGGCUGUGCCUCACUGCUGUUGGCUAAAAAAUAAAAAUCCUUUUCAACUUUCCUUGGCUCAUUUUCAGUCCCAUCUCUGCUGACAGGCAUUUAUGAAGAAGUGUUAGACAUCAAUUUGUCCAGCUUCUAGUAUAUCACAGCAUCAGAUGUGCCUUCUGGAAAGAGCGGCUAUGUACAAAGACCAGGAGGUACAAUAAAAAGGAGGAACAAAGAACGUUAGCACCGAUGCCUUUUAAACCCUGUGAUAAAACUGCAACACAGCAUGAAGUCACUUGGAACCGAGUCACUUCUGCCGUGUAUAGGAAAUAGCUACCUCUCUUCCCGGACAUGUUCGCCUCUGGUCUCUCCCAGGCUCAGAACAGCUGGACAUGUCCACCUGGGGAGGUGGGGAUGCUUUUUUCUGUUUACAUCUCAGGUUGCUGGCUCACUACUAUUGGUGGCCGUUUAGGAAAAGGGAGGGGGGAGCAAGAAAUGAGAGGCUGGGGAUGCUGCCCCCUAUCACAUGAUGGAAAUUUCCACUCUUUAGAAAGCAGAAGGAAAAAAAGAAAAGAAAAAGAAAAGAAAAGCGAGCUGGGGUCACAAGGCACACUUUGUAACACUCCUCGAAAGGACCUUGCCAAUGCACACGUGCUUCAUCCCCCCAAAAGAAUUUGCCAAAGCCGAGGAAUGGAAGGAAAAAAAUUUCAGCUCAGUGCAUCAACAUGUUUAAAUAGUGCCUUGGAGGAAGGAUUCGGAAGCAAAUAUGUACCAUUGCAAGGGGCAGCUGCUCUUAUAGAUUUCCAGUUAAACAAACAUCUGUUGCAAGAGCUACUGAUCAACAUACACCCAGUAGUGUAACUCUUGAAGUUUAGACUAAGAGCAAGAACUAAGCAAGACAUUGGAUGAUGACAGAAGAAAUUCCAUUCAGUGCCUUAACCAAGGUGAUAGCCUCAAACUAAGAGUGUAUCAGUGAUCGCCCA